rnacentral:rRNA from 1 species
UACAGAGGUCCCAAGCGUUGUUCGGAUUCACUGGGCGUAAAGGGUGCGUAGGCGGUUGGGUAAGUCUGUCGUGAAAUCUCCGAGCCUAACUCGGAAACUGCGUCGGAUACUAUUCAACUCGAGGAAUGGAGGGGAGACUGGAAUUCUCGGUGUAGCAGUGAAAUGCGUAGAUAUCCGGAGGAACACCAGUGGCGAAGGCGACACGCUGGGUCAUACCUGACACUAAAACGCGACAGCAUGGGGAGCGAACGGG